GGUAUUUCAUUUAAGAACAAGAUUUACUGAAAAUUAAAAAAAAAUAACUGUCAGUUUUGAUGAAUUGAUUCUGCUUAUUAAUAUUCAGAUCAUAAUUUUUUUCUUUUAACAUUUAUUACUUUGCAUCAAAACAUAAUAUAAAUACAGCUGGAAUAUAACUAUGACAGAAUAAUUUUUUUUAUAGGAUUUUUAUUAUUAAUCUGGAAUCCUGAUAAUUUAGGUCUUGUGUUAAUUUUUUUGGCAUAACUGAAUAAGUAAUUAUUUUCAAUCUUGUUUUGUUUUAUCUCUCUCUCUACGAAAUGAAAUUGAGAGAGAAACUAAAUAAUUUAACUUCCUUCUUCUUUAAAUAAUCAAAAUAUUUAAUUUUUAUUAUCCUCUUUUAAACAAUAAAUCAUACAUUAAUUUUAUAAAUUUAUACAAUUUUAACCUUUUAAACAGACUUCAAAAAUUAUUAC
rnacentral:lncRNA from 1 species